UACGUAGGGUGCAAGCGUUAAUCGGAAUUACUGGGCGUAAAGCGUGCGCAGGUGGUGAUGUAAGACAGAUGUGAAAUCCCCGGGCUCAACUUGGGAACUGCAUUUGAGACUGCAUCGCUGGAGUGCGGCAGAGGGGGAUGGAAUUCCGCGUGUAGCAGUGAAAUGCGUAGAUAUGCGGAGGAACACCGAUGGCGAAGGCAAUCCCCUGGACCUGUACUGACGCUCAUGCACGAAAGCGUGGGGAGCAAACAGG
rnacentral:rRNA from 1 species